UACAGAGGGUGCGAACGUUGUUCGGAAUUACUGGGCAUAAAGAGCACGUAGGCGGCACCGCAAGUGUGGGGUGAAAUCCCACGGCUUACCCGUGGAACUGCCUGGCAGACUGCGGUGCUAGAGGUUGGUAGGGGAGAGCGGAACUCUUGGUGGAGCGGUGAAAUUCGUAGAUAUUCGCAAGAACACCAGUGGCGAAGGCGGCUCACUGGCCCGGUACUGACGCUGAGGUGCGAAAGCGUGGGGAGCAAACAGG
rnacentral:rRNA from 1 species